rnacentral:rRNA from 1 species
AACGAACGCUGGCGGCAUGCCUAACACAUGCAAGUCGAACGAGACCUUCGGGUCUAGUGGCGCACGGGUGCGUAACGCGUGGGAACCUGCCCUUAGGGUCGGAAUAACUCCCCGAAAGGGGUGCUAAUACCGGAUAAUGUCUUCGGACCAAAGAUUUAUCGCCUUUGGAUGGGCCCGCGUUGGAUUAGCUAGUUGGUAGGGUAAAAGCCUACCAAGGCGACGAUCCAUAGCUGGUCUGAGAGGAAGAUCAGCCACACUGGGACUGAGACACGGCCCAGACUCCUCCGGGAAGCAGCAGUGGGGAAUAUUGGAACAUGGGCGAAAGCCUGUUCCAGCAAUGCCGCGUGAGUGAUGAAGGCCUUAGGGUUGUAAAGCUCUUUUACCCGGGAUGAUAAUGACAGUACCGGGAGAAUAAGCCCCGGCUAACUCCGUG